GUCCACGCCCUAAACGAUGUCAACUGGUUGUUGGGUCUUUACUGACUCAGUAACGAAGCUAACGCGUGAAGUUGACCGCCUGGGGAGUACGGCCGCAAGGUUGAACUCAAAGGAAUUGACGGGACCCGCACAAGCGGUGGAUGAUGUGGUUUAAUUCGAUGCAACGCGAAAACCUUACCCACCUUUGACAUGUACGGAAUCCUUUAGAGAUAGAGGAGUGCUCGAAAGAGAGCCGUAACACAGGUGCUGCAUGGCUGUCGU
rnacentral:rRNA from 1 species